GACGAACGCUGGCGGCGUGCCUAAUACAUGCAAGUCGAACGCAGUGGGGACGGGGGAGUAACACGUGGGUAACCUCCCAUCAGAGGGGAUAACACUUGGAAACAGGUGCUAAACCGAUACUGAUGGAUGGACCCGCGGUGGAUUAGCUAGUUGGUGGGGUAACGGCUCACCAAGGCGACGAUGCAUAGCUGGCCUGAGAGGGUGAUCGGCCACACUGGGACUGAGACACGGCCCAGACUCCUACGGGAGGCAGCAGUAGGGAAUCUUCGGCAAUGGACGAAAGUCUGACCGAGCCAUGCCGCGUGAGUGAAGAAGGUUUUCGGGUUGUAAAGCUCUGUUGGUAGAGAAGCGGUACCUAACCAGGAAGCAACGGCUAACUACGUGCCAGCAGCCGCGGUAAUUC
rnacentral:rRNA from 1 species